rnacentral:tRNA from 1 species
AUUUAAAUAGCUUAAAUUAAGAGUAUAAUAUUGAAGAUAUUAUGGUGAUUUUAAAAUCUUUAAAUA